rnacentral:rRNA from 1 species
AUUGAACGCUGGCGGCAGGCCUAACACAUGCAAGUCGAACGAGUGGCGGACGGGUGAGUAAUGUCUGGGAAACUGCCCGAUGGAGGGUGAUAACUACUGUAAACGGUCGCUAAUACCGCAUACCAUCGGAUUUGCCCAGAUUGUAUUAGCUAGUAGGUGGGGUAACGGCUCACCUAGGCGACGAUCCCUAGCUGGUCUGAGAGGAUGACCAGCCACACUGGAACUGAGACACGGUCCAGACUCCUACGGGAGGCAGCAGUGGGGAAUAUUGCACAAUGGGCGAAAGCCUGAUGCAGCAAUGCCGCGUGUAUGAAGAAGGCCUUCGGGUUGUAAAGUACUUUCAGCGAGGAGGCGGUACUCGAAGAAGAAGCACCGGCUAACUCCGUGCCAGCAGCCGCGGUAAUAC